UCUACCCUUAGACCUCUGUGGAAGGGCAGAGGGCCUGGAAAUUUCUUUCAGUUAUUAGUGGCCCAUGAUUUAGUCAAGCAUACCUUUGCAAUGAAGCUUUCAAAAUAAAAUCCGAAAAGGACAGGUUCAUGAAGAUGAGAUUUGGGAAAGGAAGACAAGAAAGCUCCUUCUCCCUUCUCACAUACCUCGGUCUGUGCAUCUAUUUCAUCAGGAGGUUCCUGAGUUAUCUUCUGUUACAACAAGCCAGUAAGCUAAAGGGGAUGCCUGCAUUAUGAAUAAAGGAAAAUUAUAAGAAGGAAGAACCUGAAGUAUGAAAUAUUCCCAGCUCAAUAAUAAACCAUGACUGAGCUGCAGAAGCAAUGGAAAUCCCCCUUCCUCCAUCCUGUAGUCCAGAAUAGAGCACAUGAAUAUUUGAGAUUAAAUGUUGAAAAUGAAGAGCUCUUCAUGACAUCAGAUAAAAUAUGCUUUUUAUAAAACUAGGUAUCUACUCUUCAAUGGAGAAUCCACUUGAUAUAAACAGAUUUUUUCAAAUCCAACACUAUAAAUCCCAAGAGUCUCUAUGAACCUUAUGUCAACACAGGCACAAACACACUGGAAACAAGAUGUGAUCAGCUCCACCCAGAUAAGAAUAAGCAAGUGAUGUGGAUUAUUAAGACUAGAAUGAGAAUACAGAAAAAUGAGCAGAUGUCCCUGACAGUUGAAGCUGGCACAGAUUUCUCUCCAGGACAUGUCCACCAAUCAACCUCUAUUAGGUACUGGAAGUGAGUUGGUGAUGAAUGGAUAUUUUAGGAUGGGGGUGGAAACACCUGAGCAUGUUCAGAUGGAAGAAGAAUCAAGUUACAUCCAAUACUUUCCUACCAGAGGAGCUCAGAAAGGAAAGAAAAAAUCCUGUGGGUCAGCCGUCCAACAAGGAUAAGAAAGUUCACUCAUCUUCAUAGAGGUUCUGGGUUCAUCUUGAGGAUCUCUGACCUGAACUAUUAAGGGCAGUGCAACAAACAUAAGCCUUGUCUGAAAGACAUGCUGGGGCAAAAAUGUCCUUCAAUGCAGAACAGAGUUAGUGGCUGAGAAGUAAAAGCCAGCAGGAUCGGAGCAGCGAUGGAAAAGGAGAAACUGCAAGGAGUGAUCUCCAUUCUGGCAGAGUCAUCAGCUAAUCAUCUUCCCCGGGGGAACAUCCCAUCCUGGGGAUGCGUGAGUGUGGAGAACAUCAUCAGUGGAAGGGGAAACAGCUACAUCUAAGAACUUUUAUUUUUAUAAGUGAUAACCUCACUGCCUGAUUUUUGAAUUUCAUGCUCAAUA